rnacentral:rRNA from 1 species
CGCGUCGUGGUAUUUCGCGUAUUGUGAUUUCAACGCCAACGGGGUCAAAUCCUUUGCAGACGACUUAGCUGUGCGAAACGGUCCUGUAAGCAGUAGAGUAGCCUUGUUGUUACGAUCUGCUGAGGGUAAGCCGUCCUUCGCCUCGAUUU